rnacentral:lncRNA from 1 species
CCAGUUUCCACAUGUCAUAUGUUGAAUGUUAAUGUUGAAUGAUAUUGCCUAUGCAACCUUUUUAUUUUUUUGAAAGAGGAGGGUUUAAAAAAUUUGAGAAAAGAGAUCGAAAAUAGUAGAUUGAAUUGGAUUGGGUUAGGGGAUAUAAUAAAUGACCUGAGUAGAUCUAGAUGAUUUAAGAAUUAGAUUAGGUUAAAUAGGAUGGAAAUUUAUCAAGCUUUGACCUGAUCCAUCAUUUGAAGUGGGUCCGAUAUUUGAAUCUAAACCAACUAUAUAGAUCCUGAUAAAUAGAUUAGAUUAUAUCUUAACG